rnacentral:tRNA from 1 species
GCCUGGGUGGCUCAGUGGUUGAGCGUCUGCCUUCAGCUCAGGGCAUGAUCCCAAGAUCCUGGGAUCAAGUCCCACAUCAGGCU